rnacentral:lncRNA from 1 species
AAUGCGCAAGCGGAACGUAUUAUAAAACCCCUGACAAUAAAACACGGGAUAGAAAAGCAAGAAGCAAAACCACAACAUAACACUUCCCUAAUUCAACAGAAUUACAAACAGAGGUCUACGGCCAAAAGUCUACAAAAGACCGGCUCUUAAAAAUGAAUUGUCCUACGACCUACAAGUCGGACACGUUCUCCAAUCUUAUGACUUCACCUCUGCAACUCCUCAAGGCCAACCAAAGCUAUCUGGUCGCUCCGUCCACCAGGGACCUGAAAUUUUAAUCCCACAACCGGGAUGAGACGAUGUCUCAGCAAGUUCAACCCCCUAAACCCCUAUUAGAAUGAAAAUACGCCUCGGUGGCCUAGCCACAUCACACAGAGGACUUACCUCGCCUCAGCCUUCAUCUGCAGGUUAGCACAAUUUAUAUAAAUCAACCACGUACAAUUAUGAUAACCAAACAAUCAUGGCACAAUCACAUUAUCAAACAAUUCAACCACUUGGAUCAUUUCAGCGAUCAAUCGACUUGGCCGAUUACAUGUCAUUCUAGCAAAUCAAUCAUUGCUCUCAAUCACGGCCCUAUAAGAAGGUUUAACAAACAGUGGCAAUCACGGCCCCACUCGGCACGACCUCUCCUAGGUGGUACAUCACGGCCCUAUUAGGCACGACCUCUCAUAUGUGGUCAAUCACGGCCUCACUGGGCACGACCUCUCAUAGGUGGUACAUCACGGCCUCACUGAGCACGACCUCUCAUAGGUGGUUCAUCACGGCCUCACUGGGCACGACCUCUCCUAGGUGGUACAUCACGGCCUCACUGGGCACGACUUUUCUUAGGUGGUACAUCACGGCCUCACUAGGCACGACCUUUCCUAGGUGGUACAUCACAGCCAAUCUCCCAUCAAUUUCUACACUUAGGAUUUAUAAAGCAUCCAUAUUUAUCACAAUAACACUCCAUUUGCCACAAUCAAUCAUCAAAUUCUAAUUCUAAAUACACAGCAACGAUCGGCACGAAAUUCUGAGAGAAUAAGGUUCCAACGAAAUUUUCGGAAUUUAAUAAAUAAUUAAAUUUAAUCCGAAAAUAAUUAAAUAAUAAUAUUCAUAUUUUUCACAAUCCACACUCGAUUUAUAAUAUCCAAUCAUCAAUUUCAAAAUCCGAAUACACAGCAACAAUCGGCACGAAAUUCUGAACAACCGGGAUCAAAAAUAAUUUUUCCGUUUUUUUUUUAUAAUAAUAUUUUAAUAAUUUCGGAAUUAAUAUAAUAUUAUAAAUUUCCAGAAUUUCGAAGCAAUUAAAUAAUUCAAAAUUAAAACCCUAUUAUGUCACAUCAAGGCUUUAUAUUAAAAAUAAACACAUUUAACUUUAAACUAAACACACUUUAACUUAAUUAAACAUCUUAAUAUAAUCAUCAACCAAAUAAACUAAUCUAACCACCUAAACUUACUUAACUUAGACUAAGCACACUUAAGGCAUCAUUAACCGUCUAAUCAAGGUUUAGUGAGUUAAACUCACCGGAUUAGCGAGCCGAGCGGACCAAAACGACGGGGACGACGAGGGGACCGACUUUCCUCAAAGCGGGCCGAGCAUCCGGGCUCGGGAAGCCGGCCAAAACGGGCCAAACAUGGGCUGCCAUACCCAUUUUUCCAAUCACUGAUUUGGGGCCGGAGGAGGCGGAUCCGGCGCCGGUUCGGGCGGAGGAACGGCGGAGGAGGACCGGCGGGGCUUGGACGGGCGAGGCGGCGGCCAGGCGAGGCCUCACGGUGGUCGGAGGGAGCUCCGUCAGCUCCUGAAAUACGCGAGCAGGGGCAGACGGAGGCGGCGGUCCAGGCGAGGCGCGUGCGGGGCGACGCACGGGCGCGCGGGUGCGGGACGACACGGGCGGCGGCGAGCUCCGGCGACGGGCGGCGGCGUCGAGCUCGGCUGGUCCCGGUCAGCUGCUGCAAGAGAUCUCAGAUCUGCUGGGGAAACGGGCUAAGGCGGAGUGGCGACCUAGACGGCGAGCGAGCGGACGGCGGCACAAACGGCGGCGACGAGCGGCGGAGGGGGCGGCGAAGGACUACUCCGGCUUCUCCUCUGCAAUUGUUUUUCUGGUCUUCGCACAAUGAAGAUGGAGGAGAAACCAACGGAAAUGGAGAGGAAGAAGAGAGAAGAAGGAGAGAGAGAGAUGGG